rnacentral:rRNA from 1 species
AUUGAACGCUAACGGCAUGCUUUACACAUGCAAGUCGAACGGUAACAGGCCGCAAGGUGCUGACGAGUGGCGAACGAGUGAGUAAUGCAUCGGAACGUGCCCAGUCGUAGAGGAUAACGCAGCGAAAGCUGUGCUAAUACCGCAUACGAUCUAUGGAUGAAAGCGGGGGACCGUAAGGCCUCGCGCGAUUGGAGCGGCCGAUGUCAGAUUAGGUAGUUGGUGGGGUAAAGGCUCACCAAGCCAACGAUCUGUAGCUGGUCUGAGAGGACGACCAGCCACACUAAGACUGAGACACGGCCCAGACUCCUACGGGAGGCAGCAGUGGGGAAUUUUGGACAAUGGGCGCAAGCCUGAUCCAGCAAUGCCGCGUGCAGGAAGAAGGCCUUCGGGUUGUAAACUGCUUUUGUACAGAACGAAACAGUCUGGGUUAAUACCCUAGGCUAAUGACGGUACCGUAAGAAUAAGCACCGACUAACUACGUGCCAGCAGCCGCAGUAAGAC